GUUCAAAAGUUCCAGCUGAAUUUGUAACAACCACGCUCCAAAAAAUGCAUGGGAUCGGACUUUAUUAACACCCUUUAUUAGACAAAGAGUCGAUAAAGGUUCAUAACCUUAUCACUGAUUCCCACUUAAAUAUUACACAUCUACCUUAUCUCAAUGGUUUAUCAAUUACUCGAUUAUCAAGUGCAAGAUUGGGCAUACAUAUGUAAAUAAUUUCAGAAACAUUUUCUAAUUAUUUAUUUGUGCAUUUUCUAAGAGCAUGCACAAAUGUGUGCUACUGCCAAGAGAUAAGCGUGGUAAAAUUAUUAAUAAAAUUAUUAUAAAUAUCUACACGAAUUCAAUUACUUCUCAAAAUCACUGGACCGACAAUAUAAAUGUUCAGUUUGGGUAUGAAAACUAUAAUUGGUUAAUAAUUAAUUCACGAGUUUAUUUAAGUUACUUCAAGUUUUGAACAUAUGCACAUUUUUUUGUAUGCACAUUAGACGAGUUUUCAUGAAACUUUGCUUUGUUUCGUGGAGUAAUUUUGAGACUCUUUUUACGCACGAGUUUGACUUCAGCUGCUCAACUUUGUAUGUAUUCACUCAAUUUUGUAAAAAUAAAACUUUCCAAAAAUAAAACUUGGGGCUGGAUUUUCCCAUCUACAAAUUUAAUUUAGAAACAAUUAACGUCUUCUCAAGGACUAAAUCGACAUGUCCAUGUGCCUCUUGUGUUUACAAAUUAUCGAAAAGGCUACGAAACCCCGGAAAAAAAUCAGAAUCGAAACAGUCUUCAAAUUGCUGACGGUGUGUCAUCACAAUUCCAAAUUUUCAACCCCUGAAUUUGAGGGUGACGAGAUGUGCGACUUUUGCAACGAUUGUUAUCCAUUUUUCAUCAAAAUGGAAGAAAUUAAGAGGCAAAUUGCACUUCUGGAGGGGGAAAUUUUGACGAAAAUUUUGGAUACUUCGUCCUCCUCCUCCCAGCCAAGAAUUACAGGGAGGGAGAAAAUUCUACAAAUUCGCGACAUGUUGCUAGAAUUGACAGGACAAAAUGUGGAACAUUAUGGGACAAAUGUUGGUGCAGGAAAUUUGGUACCAGACGACGACGAGGUUCAAGUCAAGGUAGAGGAAGAAGACCGGGGGGACCUCGGGGAUGACCUCGGGGACCAACUAUUUUACGACCAUGACUAUUCCGACCGCGAGCCUAGAAUUGUAAAAUCAGAGCAAGAUUUAGACAACGCAGAAACUGAUUUUUGUAUCAUUCCUACCCCUCAAACAAACUUGACACAACGUAAAGAAAAUCCUAAAUGCACCACGAAACGCAAAAGGGAAUCAGAAACAAGUACGGAACGGGAUAAACUGCAGCCCAAAAGUCGACCAAUCCCUGAUGUGCCAGCCCCAAUCGGAUCUUGUGUUAUUCCCUCUCCACCAAUGAACUUAACCAAAGGCAAACAAAUUCCCAAACGCACCACGAAACGCAAGAGAGAAGAUUCUCCAACAAGAACAAUUUCGGAAGGGGAUAAACCGCAGUCCGAUCCGCAAUCACCCCUCAUAAACAAACAAUCCGGUCCCCCCUCAGGGGUCGGAAGUCUUAUCGCUUCCCCAAAAACGUCCAAUCCAACGUCUUACUCUGGAAAAUCUACGCCUACGAAUUUGACUCCCUCCUCCUCCACUGUCCACAAAUGUCCCGUGUGUCCCAAAUUAUUCACGAAUGAGUCUGCCCUUACCUCGCAUGCGACCUACUGCUACCCCAUCCCCUGCCUCGCACCCUCCUGCAGCGCCAUAUUUGGUUCGAGGAAAGCGCGGGACGCCCACGUGAAGACGACACACGAAGGCCUGGCCUCUUUCCAGUGUCGAAUUUGCAAAACCAAACACUGGCAGCUGUACGACCUCGCGACGCACAUGGUGAUGCGGCACGAAAACGGGGAGAAGAAAUUGGCCUGCGGUAAAUGUGAUAAGCGCUUCUGUCUCGAGGAAAACUUGGCGCGACAUGUGAACCUGCACGAGGUCGAGGGGGCGAAACCGUUCGUUUGCGACUUGUGUGAUAACCGGUUUGAAAGCGAGACACGUCUUAAGACACAUUUGGCGUCGGCAAUGCACUCGAACCCGUUCAAUUGUACGGAAUGCAAGCAAUGGUUCAAGACCAGGGUGAAACUGGAAAGCCACCUGAGGUCCCACACGAAGCCAAGAACUGAGCAAUGUCCUCACUGUGACUACAAAGCGGAGAAAAAGUACAUCCUGUCCGUCCACGUGGCACGCGUCCACCCUUCCGGACCUGCCCGGCAGAUUUGUCACAUAUGUGGGAAAGGGUUUCAUCACCACGUGGACCUCAAGAACCACCUCGCCCGUCAUCGUCAAAACGACGAGAAGUUCAAAAAUGUGGAAUGUGACACGCACAUGCAUGGCCAGGACGCCAUCCUUUGUGAGGAAUGCGGAACAACUUUAACAAAUCCGGAGGAACUUGAAACCCACAAGAAAGUCCAUACGGUUGAAAAAAGGCACAAAUGUGAGGUUUGUGGGGCUGGUUUUCUCAACACGAUGAGUCUCAAGACCCACAUAAGAAGUCACGCGGGUGUGGGCCCAUUUCUCUGCCCCCACUGCGAUCAGACUUUCAAAUCGAGGGGGAAGAGGAACUGGCAUGUCAAGCUUAGCCACCCACCAGGGGUUUGUACCACCCCUCCCCCCAGAAAUCCCAGAAGACAGUUGGGGAACAAACAAGUAGAAGUUAUCCACAAUGAAAUGACACCUAAAUCAGAGCUGUUUAAUUAGUCACAUUUCUAAUUUAUUAGUAAUUGGUAAUUUGCAAGAAAAUAUUUUGUCUAAUUAAUUGGUAAUUAGAAAUUAAACAGAAGUUGCUAACUAAUUAGCUAAUUAAUUGAAAUAUUUACCAAUUGAUUUAUUGAUUUUAGUGAUUUUAUAAUUAAUUAGCAAUUAGAAUUAGCUUUGGUAGUAUUAAUUAGGUAUGGAAUUAGCGCACGUACCAAUAGACGUAUGUAUGUAUUAAUGGUCAUUUUCCAUAUACUGAUCAAUGUUAGAAAGUGGAUUUAUCGUGUUUUUUGUUCUUGAUCGAUCCAACUACCCGUCGAAACCGAAAGUUAAAGAUGAUAUUUGUUAAAAAUUAUUUAAAAAAUAACAAUACUUUUACCAAAGAAAGUAAAAACGAGGUAGUACAUAAAUAUUUAUUUCAAUUAAAAAGUACAGUCAUCAAUAAUUUUAAAACAAACAAUUCCCAGAGCGACCAUUUACAAACUUUUGAACUAUUAUGACGAACAUAAUGACGUUGAUUGUUAUCCAAUUUAUGAAAAAAUUAUAAAAAAUUGAAAAAAA